ensembl:snRNA U7 U7 small nuclear RNA
CAGUAUUACAGCUCUUUCAGAAUUUGUCUAGCAGGUUUUCCAGUAUUCAUCGGAAACUCCCCC